rnacentral:rRNA from 1 species
UACGUAGGCAGCGAGCGUUGUUCGGAAUUACUGGGCGUAAAGAGUGUGUAGGCGGUGCUCUAAGUUCGGUGUGAAAUCUCCCGGCUUAACUGGGAGGGGGCGACGGAAACUGGAGUGCUCGAGCGUGGGAGAGGAAAGCGGAAUUCCUGGUGUAGCGGUGAAAUGCGUAGAUAUCAGGAGGAACACCUGCGGUGUAGACGGCUUUCUGGACCAUUGCUGACGCUGAGACACGAAAGCGUGGGUAGCAAACAGG